AAGGGAGACCUAAUUCAGGUAUGGGACGAAAAAAAAGUAGUCGCUACCAAGAAUCAAUCCCAAAAGGUCGGAGCGAGGUAUGAGGCUUUCAAACUAGGUUCUGGGUUCAAACAAGACCUGAAUCAGGAACAAGGGCUAUUAGCUCAGGUGGUUAGAGCGCACCCCUGAUAAGGGUGAGGUCCCUGGUUCGAGUCCAGGAUGGCCCACCUGCACAGGUGGCAAAAACAAGAGAAGCUCCGAAUCAGCACCUUAUCUUAUCUAUAUAUAAGAGAGAAUGCUGGCUCUGAGUACAGGGUCCAGAGGAACCUUGAAAACUGCAUAGAGCUAGGUGAAAAAGCCAAAAAAGAAGACCGCAA
rnacentral:tRNA from 1 species